rnacentral:rRNA from 1 species
UACGAAGGGGGCUAGCGUUGCUCGGAAUUACUGGGCGUAAAGCGUGCGCAGGCGGUUUUGUAAGCCAGAUGUGAAAUCCCCGGGCUUAACCUGGGAAUGGCAUUUGGGACUGCAAGGCUUGAGUGCGGCAGAGGAGACUAGAAUUCCUGGUGUAGCAGUGAAAUGCGUAGAGAUAUGGAGGAACACCAGUGGCGAAGGCGACUUUCUGGUCUGUAACUGACACUGAGGCGCGAAAGCGUGGGGAGCAAACAGG